rnacentral:misc_RNA from 1 species
AGUUGAGUUGAGUUGAGUAUAUAUGUCUACUUGGAUUUUUUUUUUCCUUUGCAUUUUUGGAUGCAUUGUGAAUGGUGUCUGGAUUUAACUGUGGAUUAAAGUAUUAUUUGGUCUAUUUUAGUUUUUUUUUAUUAUUAAAAAAUUUAUCCUAUAUAAGCACUGUCUUGUGUAGUUUUGAUUCACUUUCAUUUUUGUACAUCCUUUGAAAUGAGUUUUAAUAUGCAUUUCUUUAGUAGCUGGUGAGAAGAUGCCUUAUUGAGUAUUGAAGUUAGCCUAUAAAAGAAAUGCAGAGUGAGAUGCUUUGUAUAGUGUAUACUGAGUGUGGUUAGUUUUUGUGGGUUUGGAAGAUGUCCUCAUGAUCAGACUUAUUGAAUUGUGCAUGGUUGUCAAUUUGAGUUUUG